CCUACGGGUGGCUGCAGUGAGGAAUAUUGGUCAAUGGGCGGAAGCCUGAACCAGCCAAGUAGCGUGCAGGAUGACGGCCCUACGGGUUGUAAACUGCUUUUAUACGGGAAUAACGCGCCUUACGUGUAGGGCUUUGCAUGUACCGUAUGAAUAAGGACCGGCUAAUUCCGUGCCAGCAGCCGCGGUAAUACGGAAGGUCCGGGCGUUAUCCGGAUUUAUUGGGUUUAAAGGGAGCGUAGGCCGCAUGUCAAGCGUGCUGUGAAAUGUCCGGGCUCAACCCGGGCCGGCCGUUGAAACUGGGGAUCUUGAGUGGGCGAGAAGUAUGCGGAAUGCGUGGUGUAGCGGUGAAAUGCAUAGAUAUCACGCAGAACUCCGAUUGCGAAGGCAGCAUACCGGCGCCCGACUGACGCUGAGGCACGAAAGCGUGGGGAUCGAACAGGAUUAGAUACCCUAGUAGUC
rnacentral:rRNA from 1 species